UGGAUCAAUGAUGAGUAUUGGUGGAAGUGUCUGAAUCAACACUUUUGAUUAAGCCCUCUGUGUAACUCUGAGAUCUGU
ensembl:snoRNA